AUGAACAUCGCCCUCCUCACCCGCUGGCUAUGGCGCAUUGCCAAUGGGGAGGGAGGCCUUUGGUUGACUAUCAUCCGGAACAAGUACCUGCGUGGCCAGCCUCUGGCGUUCUGCCAGCGCUCGGGCGGUUCCCAGUUUUGGCAGGCAGUCGUCCAGCUGCUUCCAGUCCUGAGGAUAGGCACCUCCAUCUCGGUGGGCUCUGGCGCCUCGACCUUGUUUUGGCUUGAUAGUUGGCUAGGGGACUCCCCCCUGGCCGCCCGGUUCCCCAUCCUCUUCGACAUUGUAGUUGACCCUCGGGUCUCGGUCGAGGCGGCCCUUAUUGACUUAGGGCGCCUCGCGUUUCGUCGUCCUUUUGGCCCUGCCGAGGUGGCUGCUUGGGAUGUCCUCCUCCAGGACAUCGCCCUGUUGCCUAUGGACGUGGCUGACUCUCCGGAUGCCAUCUCCUGGCGUCUGGAUUCCUCAGGCCGCUUCUCCACCAAGUCCCUUUACGCGGCUAUUGCCCCAUCAGUUGCCCCGGAGCCUUUCGGCCUUAUCUGGGACAUCCGCCUCCCACUUAAGAUCCGGAUCUUCUUGUGGCAAUGGAUCCGCGGCCGCCUCCCGUCCGGCGUGGAGGUCCUCAAGCGCCAUGGGCCUGGGGAUGGGAUGUGCCCCCUAUGUGACACGGCGGAGGAUGCCAAUCACAUCUUCUUCUCCUGUUGCACGGCACAGUUCCUAUGGGCGUGUUUUCGCGAAACGGUUGGGGGACAGUGGUGUAAUAACAACUUCCCCGACUUGCUUGCGGAAAUCCAGGCCUCCCAUCCACGCUACAGACAUAUUAGAUGGCUGUGCGUUGGGGUGCUGGCUUGGACGUUGUGGACGGUUCGCAAUAAGCUUGUCAUUCAGAAGGUGCCUCUUCGACGUGCGACUGACUCCAUCUUCAAAAUGUGUGGUUACUUGCAGCUCUGGCGGCCGCUUAGCCGCCCUCCGGACCGGGAUGCCAUCGACAGACUCCUCUCCGACCUUCGUUCGUUGGCCUUCCGCCUGGCACCGCCGCUCCCGCCGCCUCCCCCGGAGCCCGACUAG
rnacentral:rRNA from 1 species